rnacentral:rRNA from 1 species
ACAUGCCUACAACAUAGCGUUAAUGCACCGUAUCCCAUUAGAACUCUGCAGUUAAGCGCACUCAAGCUAGAAUAGUACUGGGAUGGGUGACCACCUGGGAAGUCCUAGUGUUUUACAUGCC